UGUACGGGGGGAGUCCACCGUUUGGGCCUUAGGACCAAACCCAAUCUCACAUUGUCGAGAGGCCAAGAGUCCCUGCUAAAAUACCAAAUAGCCGGUGACAAUCAUUAGCCAACGACUGGUUAUCCACUGCAACCUCUUCCACGUCCGCCUUCAAACAGCGGAGCCACCGUCUCUUAAUAGCAGAGUUCAGUGUGCUUGCGUCGGGAUCAACACCAUGCGACUCCCGUUCAGGAUUCACCAUUCACGUUCACACGUUCCUCAGCUUUGUGCUUCACUGCGUCUCAUGGAAUUGGAGAAACACCUCAGAUCCAGUAUCGACGUUGCAUCUCAAUCAUCCAUAGUGCUCUAAAUUCAAUCGUCAUCGUGUCUCCAACGUUGCGUUCAAGAAUGGUACCACGGAUAACAACUAAAACGAUGCAGAUAGAGGCGAAGACUCACCGAUUUUGAUGCGGCGGGGAACACAGGCCUAUGGAUCUUCGAUUUGUGCCAUGCCGUUUGGAACGUGAAAGCUUGAAGGAACACCUUGGUCGUGACUUGAUUGGAACAUGGAUGGUUAGCUUCUAAUCUUCAUUUGGUUUGGCGCUUGUAAUCAGUUUGGAUUGGCUUAUUGUUGGAGGCUUCACCCUAGUUUAUGUAUGUACAAGGGCAAUGGUAUCCUCAUGUGUAUGCCUUGUUUGGAAAUACUCAACUCGAAAUGGUGUGGUUGUUGUAUUGGUUAGCUUGUGUAAUUUUAUGAGUCCUUUUUAAGAUUCGGUUUUGAAUUGUAAGUUAGUGACUAAAAUGUGUAAGGAGUUUGGUUUAAUGGUAGUAAUGGAUUGUUGGGAUCGAAAUGGAAAUUGAAUUAAUGUUUGUAAUGUAUGGAAUUGUUUGGUUAAUGGAAUUGAAUUGUGGAAA